rnacentral:rRNA from 1 species
CUAAACCUAGCCCAAAGAUACCCUCUCGACUAAACAACCAAGAUAGAAUAAAACAAAACAUUUAAUCCCAAUUUAAAGUAUAGGAGAUAGAAAUCUAAGUACGGCGCUAUA